rnacentral:rRNA from 1 species
CACGUAGGGAGCAAGCGUUGUCCGGAUUUAUUGGGCGUAAAGAGCUCGUAGGCGGUGUGUCGCGUCGGCCGUGAAAACCUGCAGCUUAACUGUGGGCUUGCGGUCGAUACGGGCAUCACUGGAGUUCGGCAGGGGAGACUGGAAUUCCUGGUGUAGCGGUGAAAUGCGCAGAUAUCAGGAGGAACACCGGUGGCGAAGGCGGGUCUCUGGGCCGAUACUGACGCUGAGGAGCGAAAGCGUGGGGAGCGAACAGG